rnacentral:lncRNA from 1 species
CACAGUGUGGCUGCAUAACUUAUGUAAGAAAUCGGAGGAUCUGUCACAACAGUGAGUGACAGAAAAGGGCAGACAAAUUCAUUCCACAAGCCAAAAACAGCGACGAAAAGGGUCUCAGCGCCACCUCUAGUGGGGAAACUGAGCCUCAGGCUCCCAACCCAGCCCCCAUGAUGCCUAGUCUGUCUAGACUCUGUGCUGAACCUGAAGCCCCUGGCCAGGUGUUGCCCAGGCCCUUCCUCGCCCACCCGGUCUCAGACCCAUUCUGCCGAACCCCAGCCUCCAGGUCAUGGCUCCUACUUGUCUCCAGCGUCUUCAGGAGCCUAAGCUGGCACUUCUGGCUGCUGGUGAAGAAGCUGGAGAAGAACCCUUGCUGGAGAUUCCCCUGGGCCAGACGCUCGGGGAAGACCUGGCAAGAGACGUGUUGCUGCUGCAGCUGCUCCCCUGCCGCGGGGCCCCGCCCGCGCUCGUCCGGAGCUCCCGCCAUGCCUCCCGCAGACCUCGCCGCUGCUUCCUCCUGGCUCGGGCGGCCAGAGCGAGACUGGGAAAGUGAAUUGAAAAGACAGGAUGAAGUGGACACAGCAUGUGAAGACAAUUCUUUCAAGAAGUUUGGCUGUCAAGGAAAAUAGAGAAUGUGCUAAAGAACAUGCAGACACAGAGCAGACAGGCCACCUUUGCAACCACAUGGAGGUUUGUCUGAUAUUGAAGCUAAAGAAGCUAAGCUGGAAGACAGAGAGAGCAAGUCCUGAUGACAUUGUUUGAACCCAGAGAUCCAGACAUGCCUGAAAACUAGUUUUACCACUGGACUUAUCCGUUGAAUGAGCCAAUAAACUCUCUUUUAUACUUAACCUUGGGUUUUACCUGGAUUUUUGUC